rnacentral:rRNA from 1 species
UACAGAGACUGCGAGCGUUAUUCGGAUUCACUGGGCGUAAAGGGUGCGCAGGCGGCCGGGUGUGUCAGGUGUGAAAGCCCGAGGCUCAACCUCGGAAUUGCGCCUGAAACUGCUCGGCUAGAGCAUUGGAGAGGGUAGCGGAAUUCACGGUGUAGCAGUGAAAUGCGUAGAUAUCGUGAGGAACACCAGAGGCGAAGGCGGCUACCUGGACAAUUGCUGACGCUCAGGCACGAAAGCGUGGGGAG